rnacentral:rRNA from 1 species
UUAUAAGAGACAGCAGUCGCCACGGUAAUACAGAGGGUGCGAGCGUUAAUCGGAUUUACUGGGCGUAAAGCGUGCGUAGGUGGUGGUUUAAGUCCGUUGUGAAAGCCCUGGGCUCAACCUGGGAAUUGCAGUGGAUACUGGGUCACUAGAGUGUGGUAGAGGAUAGUGGAAUUUCCGGUGUAGCAGUGAAAUGCGUAGAGAUCGGAAGGAACAUCUGUGGCGAAGGCGACUAUCUGGGCCAACACUGACACUGAGGCACGAAAGCGUGGGGAGCAAACAGGAUUAGAUACCCCAGUAGUCCCUGUCUCUUAUAC